GCUCGGGCGCACGGCCCCGUUGCAGGCUUGUCAGUUUCGCUGCGGAGCUUGCGCGCCCCGGCUCCGCAUCUCUCCGCGGGGGGCGGAUGGAGCAGCGCCCCGCUCAGCCGAUGCCCGCGCCCCCUGCAGCCGCCGCCCCCCGCCCCUGGCUGCCUCCGUCCCCAGCUGAACCGGGGCGGCUCCGGCCCCGGGACCCCCGGCCCCGCCUCGCCUCCCAUGAGCUGUAGCCCCCCCCCCCCCCGCAAGACACGCCGCGGCCGGGGUGGCGAGAGGCCGCGGGCAUGGCGACCCCCGGGGACUGCUGCGUCCAGGUGGCGGUGAGGAUCCGUCCCCAGCUGUCAAAGGAGAAGAUUGAGGGAUGCCACAUCUGCACUUCGGUGACGCCCGGGGAGCCCCAGGUGUUACUGGGAAAGGACAAGGCGUUCACCUACGACUUCGUCUUCGACCUGGACACGUGGCAGGAGCGGAUCUACACCACCUGCAUCAGCAAACUCAUCGAGGGCUGCUUAGAAGGCUACAAUGCCACUGUGCUGGCAUAUGGCCAGACUGGAGCUGGGAAGACGUACACCAUGGGCACCGGCUUUGACACACACAUCUCAGAGGAGGAGCACGGGAUUAUCCCGCGGGCCAUCUCCCACCUCUUCAGCGGCAUCGAGCAACGCAAGCGAGUGGCGCAGGAGCGUGGUGCAGCCGUGCCAGAGUUCAAAGUCAGCGCCCAGUUCCUGGAGCUCUACAACGAGGAGAUCCUGGACCUGUUCGACAGCGCCCGGGACCCCGACUCCCGCCACCGCAAGUCCAACAUCAAAAUCCACGAGGACGCCAAUGGCAGCAUCUACACCACGGGCGUCACCUCCCGCCUCAUCAACUCCCAGGACGAGCUGAUCCAGUGCCUGAAGCAGGGAGCUCUGUCCCGCACAACCGCCAGCACCCAGAUGAAUGUCCAGAGCUCCCGCUCCCACGCCAUCUUCACCAUCCACUUGUGCCAGAUGAGAGUCUGUGCCCGGCCGGACCUGGUGACCGGCCUUCCCGAGGGAUCCCAGGCCACCGGCGAGUACGAGACCCUCACCGCCAAGUUCCACUUUGUGGACCUGGCCGGCUCGGAGAGGCUGAAGCGGACGGGAGCCACAGGCGAGAGAGCCAAGGAGGGCAUCUCCAUCAACUGCGGCCUGCUGGCGCUGGGAAACGUCAUAAGCGCCCUUGGAGACCAGAGCAAGAAAGCCGUGCACGUACCCUACCGAGACUCCAAACUGACCCGGCUCCUCCAGGACUCCCUUGGGGGGAACAGCCAAACCAUCAUGAUCGCCUGCAUCAGCCCCUCUGACCGGGACUUCAUGGAGACCUUGAACACGCUCAAGUAUGCCAACCGGGCUCGCAACAUCAAGAACAAGGUGGUGGUGAACCAGGACAAAACCAGCCAACAGAUCAGCGCCCUGCGGGCCGAGAUCGCCCGCCUCCAGAUGGAGCUCAUGGAGUACAAGGCGGGCAAGCGUGUGAUCGGGGAGGACGGCUCCGAAGGCUACAGCGACUUGUUCCAUGAAAACACCAUGCUCCAGAAGGAGAACGCCACCUUGCGCAUGAGGGUGAAGGCCAUGCAGGAGGCCAUAGAUGCCAUCAACAGCCGGGUCACCCACCUGAUGAGCCAGGAGGCCAAUUUGAUACUGGCCAAGGCAGGUGACGGCAAUGAGGCCAUUGGCGCCCUGAUCCAGAACUACAUCCGGGAGAUCGAGGUGCUCAGGACAAAGCUCUUGGAGAGUGAAGCCAUGAACGAGUCGCUCCGCCGCAAUCUGUCACGGGUCUCCUCCAGGCCCCCAUGCUCCCUGGGCUCGUCUCCAGGGCCAGGCCUGGGGGCGCUCAGCAGCCCUGUGGUCUCCAUGGAGGCAGAGGCCACCGAAGUUCUUCGGCGGGCCAAGCAGGACCUGGAGCGGCUGAAGAAGGAGACCAGGCAACGGAGGAAGAGCCCGGAGAAGGAGGCCUUUAAGAAGAGGCCAAAGCUGCAGCAGGAGAACGGGGAGGAGACGGACGAGAAUGAGGAGGAGGAGGAGGAGCGGGAGGAGAGUGGCUGUGAGGAUGAGGACGAGGAUUCGGGCAGUGAGGAGAGCCUGGUGGACUCGGACUCCGAUGUUGAGGAGAAGGUGGUGAAUUUCCAGGCUGACUUGGCUGACCUGACCUGCGAGAUCGAGAUCAAGCAGAAGCUGAUUGACGAGCUGGAGAACAGCCAGCGACGCCUGCAGACCCUCAAGCACCAGUACGAGGAGAAGUUGAUCCUGCUGCAGAACAAGAUCCGUGACACCCAGCUGGAGAGGGACCGGGUGCUGCAGAACCUCAGCACCAUGGAAUGCUACACAGAGGAGAAGGCCAACAAGAUCAAGGCAGACUACGAGAAGCGGUUGAAGGAGAUGAACCGGGACCUGCAGAAGCUGCAGGCGGCCCAGAAGGAACACGCUCGCCUGCUCAAGAACCAGUCGCGCUAUGAGCGGGAGCUCAAGAAGCUGCAGGCCGAGGUGGCGGAGAUGAAGAAGGCGAAGGUGGCACUGAUGAAGCAGAUGCGGGAGGAGCAGCAACGAAGGCAGCUGGUGGAGACCAAGCGGAACCGGGAGGUUGCCCAGCUGAAGAAGGAGCAGCGCAGGCAGGAGUUUCAAAUCCGGGCGCUGGAGUCUCAGAAGCGGCAGCAGGAGAUCAUCCUGCGAAGGAAAACCCAGGAGGUCUCUGCUCUGCGCCGCCUGGCCAAGCCCAUGUCGGACCGGGUCUCUGGGAGGCUGAGUCAGAAGCCGGCCAUGCUGGACUCGGGCGCAGAGGUGUCCGCCAGCACCACGUCCUCGGAACCGGAGUCCGGCGCUCGCUCGGUCUCCAGCAUUGUGCGCCAGUGGAACCGGAAAAUCGACCACUUCCUGGGAGACCCUUCGCCCUCCGUGAAUGGGGCUCGGCCCAUCAGGAAGAAGUUCCCAAAGAAGGGGGUAAGCCAGUCCUUCAGCAAGGCGGCCCGGCUCAAGUGGCAGUCGCUGGAGCGGCGCAUCUUCGACGUCGUCAUGCAGAGGAUGACCAUCGUCAACCUGGAGGCGGACAUGGAGCGGCUGAUCAAGAAACGCGAGGAGCUGGCGCUGCUGCAAGAGGCGCUGCAGGGGAAGAGGGGAAAGCUGCAGGCGGAGAGCCCGGAGGAGCAGAAGGGCCUGCAGGAGCUGAACGAGGAGAUCGAGGUGCUGACCGCCAACAUCGACUACAUCAACGACAGCAUUGCCGACUGCCAGGCCACCAUCAUGCAGCUGGAGGAGACCAAGGAGGAGCUGGACUCCACCGACACCUCCGUGGUGAUCAGCUCCUGCUCCUUGGCUGAGGCUCGCCUCCUGCUGGACAACUUCCUCAAGGCCUCCAUCGAUAAGGGGCUGCAGGUGGCUCAGAAAGAAGCCCAAAUCCGCCUGCUGGAAGGGCGCCUGAGACAAACGGACGUGACCGGCUCCUCCCAGAACCAUGUCAUCCUGGAUGCCCUGCGAGAGAAAGCGGAGUCCCACCCUGAGCUGCAGGCACUCAUCCACAACGUGCAGCAAGAGAAUGGCUACGCCAGCACGGACGAGGAGAUCUCGGAGUUCAGCCUGGCCUCGGAGGGGAGCUUCUCCCAGUCUUUCACCAUGAAGGGCUCGGCCAGCCAGGACGACUUCAAGUUCAAGGGGGAACCCAAGCUGUCAGGCCAGAUGAAGGCUGUGUCGGCCGAGUGCCUGGGACCCACGCUGGACAUCUCCACCAAGAACAUCACCAAGUCCUUGGUAUCCCUCAUGGAGAUCAAAGAAGAUGGAAUCGGCUUUUCCAUCCGGGAUUCCUACUACAAGGAUAAGGUCUCCCGCACCAUCAGCCUGCCCACCCGCGGCAGCACCUUCCCUAGGCAGUCCCGUGGCUCGGACACCUCGCCUCUGACCCGGAGGAAAUCCUACGACCGGGGGCAGCCAACCAGGACUUCAGACGUUGGCUUCACGCCUCCCUCGUCCCCUCCCACCAGGCCGCGCAACGACCGCAAUGUCUUCUCCCGCCUCACCAGCAACCAGAGCCAGGGCUCCGCGCUGGACAAGUCUGACGACAGCGAUUCCUCUGUCUCGGAGGUGCUGAGGGGCCUCAUUAACCCUGUGGGCAGUGCCAGGAGCGCCCGAACGGCCCCGCUGCAGUGCCUAUCCGUGGCGGAGGGACACUCCAAGCCUGUUCUCUGCGUGGACGCCACAGACGAGCUGCUCUUCUCUGGAUCCAAAGAUCGGAGCUGCAAAAUGUGGAACCUGGUGACGGGCCAGGAAAUCGCCUCGCUGAAGGGCCACCCCAACAAUGUGGUGUCCAUCAAGUACUGCAGCCACUCGGGGCUGGUGUUCACUGUCUCCACCUCCUACAUCAAGGUGUGGGACAUCCGGGACUCGGCCAAGUGCGUCCGCACCCUCACCUCUUCGGGUCAGGUGAUCUCCGGGGACGUCUGCGCCGGGACCACGACCCGCACCAUCGCCAGCGUGCAGGGCGAGCACCAGAUCAACCAGAUCGCGCUCAACCCCGCCGGCACUGUGCUCUAUGCCGCCGCCGGGAACUCCGUCCGCAUCUGGGAGCUCAACAGGUUGCAGCCUAUCGGGAAGCUGACCGGCCACAUCGGGCCCGUGAUGUGUCUGACUGUGAACCAGACCGCGAGCAACCACGACCUGGUCGUCACCGGCUCCAAGGAUCACUAUGUCAAGAUAUUUGAGAUCGCGGACAGCAUGGUGGGGAACGUUGGCCCCACCCAUAACUUCGAGCCCCCGCACUACGACGGCAUCGAGUGUCUGGCCAUCCAGGGUGAUGUGCUCUUCAGCGGCUCCAGGGACAACGGGAUCAAGAAGUGGGACCUGGAGCAGCAGGAGCUCCUUCAGCAAAUCCCCAACGCGCACAAGGACUGGGUCUGCGCCCUGGCCUUCGUCCCCGGCCGUCCCAUGCUGCUGAGUGCCUGCCGCGGGGGCAUGGUGAAGGUCUGGAACGUGGAGAACUUCACUCCCGUUGGGGAGAUCAAGGGCCACGACAGCCCCAUCAAUGCCGUCUGCACCAAUUCCAAGCACAUAUUCACUGCUUCCAGUGACUGCCGGGUAAAGCUAUGGACUUACGUGCCUGGGCUCACCCCCUGCCUUCCUCGCCGCGUCCUUGCCAUAAAGGGGCGUGCCACUAGCCUGCCUUGACCCUCCUCCUGCUCUCUCUGGCCUGCUCUCUCUCUCUGGCCUGCUGUCUGUCUGUCUGUCUGUCUCUCUCUCUCUCUUCCCCUCUCCGCUCUGGUCUCAGCUGCUUCUUAACGUGACAUGACAGUGAAGCUCUGGAGCAGGAGACGAGUCCUGAACGGCCCAACCUAGGGGCUGGAAAUGCCGGAGCCAAGGCGACUGGCAGGCCCAGCCCCUCUCCCUGGCCAUGAAGAGCUGGGAGCGGCCUGGCCUGCACGUGUUCCAGUUCCCAGGACUCUGGGGUGAUGGUGUCUCAGCUGGGGCUUUGUGCACUGCUAGCUCCCACGGCUAGGGGGCGUCAUUCCCGUCCAGCCCCACGCUGGGUUUCCGUGAUGCAUAGGGCAUUCUGCUGACCGGGGUGUGGCCAGGCCGUGCUUCAGGACAUGGCCUUGCCAGCCCUGGGGAGGACCCUGAGCUGAGACACUCAACGGGAUCGUUCCAGUCUGCCCCACAGCCUGUUCAGCGCCCCCAACACCCCAGAGCCUGGAUGUGCAUGAGGGAUCCUGCCACCUGCACCCUGCUGCGGGCCUCCGAACCGCCCUGGUGCCUGGGGUCUCGUUCCCUCUGGAAGCGGCUGCAGGCGCCCCUCUCUACACCCCAUCGUUCAGCAGAGCUGGGUUCUGCCGGCCGGUACCGAAAUAUGGAGAGGGCUUGUAUGCUGCCUGAAGGUCACCCCAGCGCCGCGCUCAGGGCCGACCCUAGCCUGGCAGCAGCUCCAUUGCUGCGUCUCCAGACCAAAUCCACAUGCUGUCUGGCAAAUGUUGACCUCUGCAUCUGACCCACCUCGUUCUGAGCCAGGGCGUCCCUCCUUUUGCCCCGGAGGUGGAGAGAAGGCAGCUGGCACAUCGGGGAAAAAUCCCUGUGGGCGUCUCCAAGGAAAAGCGGAAUUUCUUGAUCUGUUCACUUUGGGCACCCCCCACACACACAUCCGACUGAGCCUUAAUCGCGCACUGGUCUGUUCGCUGUCCCCUGUGGUCCCCACUGCCCAUUUGGACAUCCAGCUUGGUGCCAUCUCUGCUGAGCAUGGGAGUAGCUCAUUCCCAGGUGCUGUGGGAAGGGAUUGAAGCUUUUAUAGUAGGAUUUCAAAGAAUUUUUUUAAGCACCCUCGAGAACAGAUUGGGACCUGGGGAUUUUUAAUAGCCAGGAAAGGCUUUAAUGCUGGGAAAAGGGUAAGCUCUCCGCACCAUCUCACAGGAGGGGUUUAGGUUUGCUUGGGGCAGAUCCCUGCCUGCCAGCCUGUGGGGCCUGGCUCGGGAGAGGUCCGGGACUAGAGUAGUGGGUGGAAGAGCAGGGCGGGCGGUGGUUAUGUGGUCAGGAGAGAGGCGCUUUGGCAGAGGCGGAGGGCGUGGGGCGCUCUGGACGGGAUCUGCAGCGGGGAGUGGGGCAGGGCUAGAAUGGAGCUGGAUGAAGGGAAAGAAAGAUGUGGGGUAGCGGGAGGGGCCCACAUGAGACUUGAGGUGCAUUAGCAGAGCUGGGGGGCAAUGAGGGGUUGCCCAUGCCCAUGCUCUGCUUGCCAGCCACCUGCACGGCCAGUGUGGCUCAAGACACUAAAUCACCACGGUCAGUCCAGAUUUCAGUUUUAUAAAGGUCAAAAUUGCAUAAGGACUCUCGCCACCAUCUCCCCCGCCAUGCUUGGGUGCCCCGCUUCCUCUGGGGCAUCCACGGCCAAGUGCCUGCAGCUGCCAGAGCCACGUGGGCACCCCACAGCACUGCACUCCCCAAAGCACAUGGACUUGCUCUCACUGGGGUCUUUCGCUACCUUCACUCCCUCCUCCCUGGCUGGCUAAGGAGUCCCACGCAGCCAACACCCAGUGCAGCCAGAACCUUCGUCCGCCAGCUUCUCGCUGCUACUUAAUGCCCUUGGGGUGCAGAGCUUGCCGCAAAAUGGACCUGAGGGAACAGCAGCAGGCUGACCCUUUCCCCCGGGUGCAUUUCUUGCGUUGCUCCACCCGUCACAUAAGAAGCGGCGGUUGGACUUUGGUUUUAUUGAUUAAUCUUCAGCUAACCCCAUCAGCAAUGGAUUGUGUGUUCUCUGGGAUGCAAGACUUUCAGUAUCCUUGGUUAACAGGUGAUUGCCCCUGGUUUCCUUCCACCUGGCAGAUUGAAGCAACACCACCAAGGGGUUCUUACUCCUUUCAAACUUAUAAAUUGGACGGGAAAUGUUUCCACUUCGUAAACGGCAUCAGCCUCUUUAUUUAUUUGUUUUGCCUUUUGAUGAUGAUCCAGCUGCCCUGUCUUGUAGCGAACCCUGCGAAAACAGUGAUCGCCCCUGCUGCACAAAGUAAAAAUUGCCUCCAAUUGCUGCUGCUCUGGAGUGGUUCUGAGAUGGGAAAAAUUGUUCAUUUUCCAUCAUGCCUCUGAGCAUCUGGCUACUGACCAGGAUGGGGAGCUCUGAAGUCCUGCCAGGGUGCUGGCUCUGGUGGGAUCCAAACACAGUGACUUGGUUUGCUCAGCUACGCACCACAACCACCCAUCAUUCUCCUACUUCUGCCACCAACGAAAGGAGAAGUGUCCCCAGGGUUCUGCCGAUGCCCGGGGGAAGGGAACGCAGGUUGAAGUGAUGCCUUCCAGAGAGUGGAUUAUAUCCAAGAUCCACCCCCCGCCCCCUCCCCCCCCGAUGGGACAGGAUUAAACUGGGAGAAAAAGUUGGAUUUUUCCAUUUGGCAACAAGAGGGACAAGCAAACGUGAAUUGUCUGAAAUGAAGAGGAUCUGAGCGAGGGACUCUGAGAUGCCACUCGUGUAGCUGGUGGGUGGGCGGGUGGGUGGCCUAUACCCGGAGGAUGAUGUCUGAGUCUCAGCUUGUCACAACAGCUAUCAAAUGUAACACCUGAGACCCACUCCACCCUGGCAGGUGUGAAUGGCUCUGGGGCAGGAGGGAGCCAGGGCAGCAGUGUCUCUGCUUCAAUGGGGCUUCAUUGGAUCUUUAAGAGCCUGAUCCGAAGCCAGCAGAAAGUCUCCCAUUGACCUCCAUGGAGUUUGGAUCAGGCACUCAGUGCGGGUCGCUGCAUGAGAGGGGAAGAUUUCACCUGCAUGUAGCCCAGUAGCCACCUGUUGGGAUUCCCUGGUUCUUUCCCUCGGGGCUAAUCCCAGGCAGCUCUGCUCCAGUGACCCCAGCAUGUUGCAAGACCGAGCGCUCGUGGUGGCUGGGCCUCGUUCUGCCUUGCACCAAGCAACUGCAUCUCGUGGCGUUCCUGACCAGCGAAACCCCACAGGAGGUCAAUAGGAACAAGCAGGUUGAAAGAUGGAAAUUUCCUCACAAGUUGUCCUGAGGCCAGCCAGCCAGCCAGCAUCAGAUGAUCCAGUAGCGGGCACCUGGCUUGUGUCCACUGUCAGCUCCCAUGUGCUGGGCACAGCCCUUCCCUUGAGGUGCCCCUGCCGGCUCCUCUCCCUGUGUGGAAGGGAGAGCAGGCGGGGGCGGUGUUGUACUGUAGCUCUGUGUGUGCGCGCACGGUCUUUUUUUGUUUGGAGGGGUGUCAUUUGAGGGGGGCUCUUUUGUUAAGCUACCUCACAGUCUGAGCCACUUUUAAAAAAAAAAAAAAAAAAAAAAAAAUUAUGAUUUUGAAACUUGAAUUUGUCCUGGAAACGCCACUUGCGUUGCUGAGCUGCUCGGGUCCUGGGGGCUUGUCCUGCCUUAGCAUUGCAGUGUGACAUACCGCACCUUGCUCUGCUUGAAAAAUGCCCCCCUUAGACUUUAAAAAUGGACCUCUGAUUGUUGGAGGGCCCAGCUUGACACUUGAAAGAGGUCUGAUCUCCAGAUGGGGGGUGCUCAGGGCUUUCUUUUUAAGGGGUCAUGAACUGGGCACCUGAAACAACUAGCCGCUCUUGAAAAUCAUGACCCUGACUCUUACAUGGAGGCCCUGUCUGCAGGUUGUCAAGAGGAGCUCCGAAUGCCACCCUGAGCCAGCAUGUGCCAGGCGGACAUCGGAAUGCCUCUCGAGCCCACUAUAGUCCUGCUGCGAGCCCCGAAGGGCCCAUGCCAACCCCCCAGCUGCCUGUUCUUGAAAGCACUGACAGGCUGACGCUGAUACCCAGGUCCUCAGCUUCAGCCGAAGUGGGGCUCUCUGCGUUUUAGUGAAAUCGGUACGCGCCUCCCUGACCCUCCUGGUCCUGACGCUGGCUGUGGCCACCUGGGAAUGGCUCCUUAUCUGGAACCAUGCAGUGACCGAUUUUACCAUGAUCUGACUGCACUUCACCCUAAUUUAACAAGAGCCUCCUGUGGUAUCCUAUUCGGGACCCAUGUGAGAGCAGGGUUAUGGAGUUUCCCCUGAGCUCAUGUUGUAUACAGCUUGUGUUUGGCUGAAACGUCCCCUAACAAGGACUCUUUCUCAGCGUUCGGAUCAAUGUCCAUCUCUUUCUGAAUCCAAAUGCCCUCCCUUAUCUCAGGCCAGAUCCUCAGCUGGUGAAAAUGGUCACAGCUUCAUCAAUGGAGCUAGGAUGGUUUACACCAUCUGAGGAUCUGCUCCCUGGACUUUUAGGCACAAGACUAUCCUUCCUCUUAGCCAGGGAACAAAUCCUGGAAGAGCCCUAGCUGAAAGCACAAUGCCGCUUAAUCUUGGGAAUAAGGGGCAGCUUUGUAAUGUACAAUCAAAGGGGAAGCCCAUUCCCCUAAAAUAUAUAUGCUGCACCCCUUCUGGGGGCCAGUAACUCAAAGCACACCCCCAACGUAACCCCCGCUGUCAUUGGUAGCUGGGCACGUUAGCCUCUGGGAAGAACUAAGGAGACAUAUUUGUUCCUUGUCUUCAGAAUCUGCCUGCUAGUGAUUGCACGUGAUUGUACUUUCAGGCAGCAGCACAGGGGAAAGGACAGCACAAAUCAAGAGGUCCCUUUGGGUGCAGUCAUCCCUGAUGUUACCAUGUAAGGGGAGAUGGGGAACAAAUGCCUCCAUGCAGGGGCAGCAAGUGACAGUAACCGUGUGUGAUCAGGGAGAGUUUAAUUGGGUGUGUCUAUGAUGGGAAGCAGGUAACGGGGCAGGACAGAGAGGGAUCAGGAGAUAAAUUCACCCCUACAAGUCUCCUUGGUGUUCGCAGCAGCGCCCGGGGCAGGCUGUAGCCCAGUAACUCGGGGGCUGAAAGGAGCCCAAGGUGGAGGCGGGCCUGGGAACAGCAGUGAGCUGCGUCUCCCAAGCCCUGAUUCUGAUCUUGCCCUGUCACUGCAGUGUCUGUGGGGCCAGGAGAGUCAGGCCCAUCGACACACUCUCUCAUUUACAGAUGCGUAACCUCCACCCUUACAAAUGGCAUCUGCAUCUGACCACCAACCUCUCCCCACCCUGCUCCCACCUCUUCUCUCUCCAUCCCCCUUUCUGGCCCUGAAACCAUCCAAGACUCGACAGGCCAUUGGCUACCUUCCCCUGCCCACUGCACAUGAAGGGGGAUUGAAUUCAGGGAGCGGCUCCACUGGACUUCAGGGGGGAGGGACAGGUCAGUGCAAGUAGCCCUCAAGGCUGCUACAGCAAUGACGCCUCCUGCAGACCGAUGGUGAAAUUGACCCGGGGGAGAUGAUGGAAGUUACAAGUCUGAGCUGCCUGGAAUGACUUUUUUUGUUUAUACUGCAGGGUACUGCAUGUACCCCUAGCGUGGCAACCACGGGCCCUGUUCCUUUACCUGCUGUCUGUGCAGACCCUGCUCAUGCAAACCUCUCUGGGGGGCCAGACCCAGGGAGGAUGCCCUAACUGACAAUGGAGACAGUUGAACUCGUGGUUGCUGCAGCUCUGUUUCUGCACUGUUUGCUCUGCUUUCUCUCUAGAUUUCUGCCAGGCUUCCCACCCCAACUGCUCCACCCUUGUCCUCUCCCGACCAUAUGGGCCAUACAGCUCUGUUCACAGCACUGGCUGUGGUACCCUCCUGGAGCUGGGACUCUCUGUCCCAUCUGCUACCGUUUGUGCUGUAGGGGCAGGGCUGAUUUAAGAUCUACACCCCACAGCUCACCCCUUUCAGGCCCCCAGUUAGCUGUUAGCACCGCAGAGCCACUGCUAGCCCCAUUCCCUCUAAUCACUGGUGACCUGGCAGUGUCCAGUUCAGGAGCAGAGACUCCUUUAGCCCCCAAAGCCCUGGGGGAAGCUUGUCAUCCUGAGGGGUCUCUUCCAUCCCUCAUGCUCCUCAGGACCUAAGAGUAACCCCCUGCUGGGGGCUCCAUUCUCAGCCCUUAUGUUGGGCAGGGAUGGGCGCCUGAGGCAGGGGCCUUCACUUGGAAGAGCUCCCCAGCGUAAUGGUUACAAACCUGGGGCCGCACUACUGGAAAGUGGAUUCUCAUGAGCACCAGGAUGUGUCCUGGCACUGAUCCUCUCCCAGGACCCUGCUUCCUUCCUGGUCCUUUACUCUCAGCCCUUCCAUCCCCUCACGCUGCUGGCCAUAUUCCCAUCCUACCUCCCACUGAACCCCGUUUCAGGUACGAUUCCCCCAAAGAGCACAAGGGUCAGAUUUCUUUCUGAGCUGACUGGUGCCCAUCACAUGGUCAGCGUCUCCCCUUCCCUUCUCGCCUAACAACAAAGUCACUGGACAAAGCUUCUCUCCUGGGGGAGCUGGGUUGCGAGACCCAGUGGGGUAGGACGAAUGGCCUUCAUCAGUGGCCUUGUGCCUCUGCAAAGGCAGUGGGCCAUUGGCACUGGGACUGACCCAGAGCAGGGAUCCUUCCCCCCCCCCGCCCGCCAUACCCCACCGUUCCACCAGGAGAUGCUUCCGGUGCCCAGCCUUGCAACUCUUAGCUGCAUUAGUCCAGGGGCUCCUCCACCUUACACUACAGCCCUGCUUUACCCUGGGAUGAUGCCUGGCCUUUGGUGUAGUCGUCUGUGUGACUUCUCCCCCACCCCCAGGCACAGGAAGGAGCACUGCUUUACAUUGCGGUUCUUUUGGUGAUGGGAUAGUAACCUUACUCCUGCCCUGCAUUUUGAGUGUUGAGCAGCUGUGUAUGGAACCUCAGAAAGUAGAGACUGAGCAGACCUAACCCUGGUCACUUAGUUUAGCCCUCACCCUGUGUCUAUACUGUACAAGUGUUGCAAACAGCAGGUGCCUUUUCUUGCCCUGAGAUGUUUUUAGAGAUGUCAACGCUUGCUAAGGCUUUUCUCUCUCUAUGGGUUGUGAGAUCCAGCGGGGCGGUCUGUGUUUUGUGUAUAGGACAAGGUGUGUAUAUAUUUUAUACCUCGAUGUAUUACUGUAAAUGGGGUUAUUGAAGCCUCAAGUUGUACAUGGUUUUUUCCAAUGGAUGUGUCUGUUCCUUGCGCUGUCUUCGUAAAUAAAUGCACCAAAAUGAAA